CUACGGAGGGGGUUAGCGUUGUUCGGAAUUACUGGGCGUAAAGCGUACGUAGGCGGACUGGAAAGUUGGGGGUGAAAUCCCGGGGCUCAACCCCGGAACUGCCUCCAAAACUUCCAAUCUAGAGAUCGAGAGAGGUGAGUGGAAUUCCAAGUGUAGAGGUGAAAUUCGUAGAUAUUUGGAGGAACACCAGUGGCGAAGGCGGCUCACUGGCUCGAUACUGACGCUGAGGUACGAAAGCGUGGGGAGCAAACAGGAUUAGAAACCCCAGUAGUCC
rnacentral:rRNA from 1 species